AGCCCAAUGCGGGGGUCGAACCCGCAACCUUGAGAUGUUCACCACAUUGUUUUUCAGAACGUGUGCCUCGUUAAGAGUCUCACGCUCUACCGAUUGAGCUAACCGGGC